GGGUGAGAAAGCUGUCCAAAAGAAGCCGGCGAAAAAAGUGCCCGGAAGUGGGCUCACGCGCGCGGCGCGUGUGGGGAAGCGGCGGCGCGUGGGCGGCGCGUGGGCGCGCGUGCUGUGGUUUCCGGCGACGAAAUUUUCAGAAAAUGUGCGCCAGACACUGUGUGUCACAAUGGUGUGGGAGGUGAGUCCAAGAAACUCCCG
rnacentral:lncRNA from 1 species